CAGCGCAGGAAAUUAAGCCCCUCUCCCUCCCCCGCUUCCAUUCCCCAGUGCGAUCCACUUCCAUUUAGUACCGCCCCCUACUCUCCAGCCGGUAAAGUGGAUGUGGCCAGCACAAGAAAAUAAGCUCCGCCUUCCGCAAUCUGCGUCUGUAGAGAGCCCGGAAGAGAAGCAAAUUAUCUCGUUGGCGCGUUGACCUGAGGAGUGGCACGACCUUUGAACUCUCUGCGGGCCGGCUCCACUUCCCAUGUUCCCAGGUCUACCACGGUCUCACCUGCCCAUCCACAACCUAACAGCACUCACUGCACGCAGUCGCUCUGAAGUCACUCCCUAAUAACUUUAAUGGAGAUUCCCUCUCGUACCCCACUGUGGCAUGACUGGGGGCCUGCCAGCAAUUCAUUUGCAAUGCUCCAUUGGCAAGGCCGAGGUAGACUGUAUGAACAAUUGGAGGGAUCUGCAAAAGUUGUACAGGUGCUGCGUUUUCAAUUAUCAUGCUUCUUGGGAAUUGUGAAGACAUAACCACUACUGUGUAACAACAACACCUACAACAACAAUUUACGUCCUUUAAUAUUAUGUUUAUUUUGA